UAUGCUCUUUAGCAUCUCUUCAACGAUGUAAUUUGGCCCAAAUAGUACAAAAUAAAAAGUAAUAUUUUCCUAUGUAACUUGAACAUAUUUUACACAUGAAAUAAUAUACUUAUGUUGCUCAUCAUGGGUUCUACUUGAAAAUGGCAAAUUAGUUUUAAGAAAUUUUUGUUUUAAAGUAAAUCAUCUUACUGAAUUCUUAUGCUUUACAAGGUUUUGUUGUAGGUGCCUGAAGAAUACAAAAAUAAGGCACAGUCCAUGUCAUUAAGGAUUAAAAUUUAAUUGAGAAACAAAAUAGCCACAAAUAAUGAUUUAACUAACAAAGUGCCAAAUGAGGACACUACAUGAGUUCAUAUAAAAAGAUUAUUAACGAUACUGCUACUAAUAAAGCUAACAAG
rnacentral:lncRNA from 1 species